rnacentral:rRNA from 1 species
GAUUUUGGAGGGCAAGUCUGGUGCCAGCAGCCGCGGUAAUUCCAGCUCCAAUAGCGUAUAUUAAAGUUGUUGCAGUUAAAAAGCUCGUAGUUGAAUUUCGGGGUUAGUAGGUUGGUCAUGCCUCUGGUAUGUACUGGUCUCACUGAUUCCUCCUUCCUUAUGAACCGUAAUGCCAUUAAUUUGGUGUUGCGGGGAAUUUGGACUGUUACUUUGAAAAAAUUAGAGUGUUUAAAGCAAGCUAACGCUUGAAUACAUUAGCAUGGAAUAAUGAAAUAGGACGUUCGAUCUUAUUUUGUUGGUUUCUAGGAUUGACGUAAUGAUUAAUAGGGAUAGUUGGGGGCAUUAGUAUCCAAUUGUCAGAGGUGAAAUUCUUGGAUUUAUUGAAGACUAACUACUGCGAAAGCAUUUGCCAAGGAUGCUUUCAUUAAUCAAGAACGAAAGUUAGGGGAUCGAAGACGAUCAGAUACCGUCGUAGUCUUAACCAUAAACUAUGCCGACUAGGGAUCGGAUGAUGUUAAUUUUUUAAUGACUCAUUCGGCGCCUUACGGGAAACA